rnacentral:rRNA from 1 species
GAGUUUGAUCCUGGUUCAGGAUGAGCGCUGGCGGUAUGCUUUAUACAUGCGAGUCGUACGAGAGUUUUUAACUCAAGUGGCGGACGGGUGAGUAACACGUAAGAAUUUGCCUUUAGGAGGGGGAUAACAACUGGAAACGGUUGCUAAUACCCCAUAUGCUUUUGAGUGAAAUGGAUUUUUCCGCCUAAAGAGAAGCUUGCGGCUGAUUAGCUUGUUGGUAAGGUAAUGGCUUACCAAGGCGACGAUCAGUAUCUGGUUUGAGAGGACGAUCAGACACACUGGAACUGAGACACGGUCCAGACUCCUACGGGAGGCAGCAGUAGGGAAUUUUCCGCAAUGGGCGAAAGCCUGACGGAGCAAUACCGCGUGAGGGAUGACGGCCUAUGGGUUGUAAACCUCUUUUUUCAGGGAGGAACAAAAUGACGUGUACCUGAAGAUAAGCAUCGGCUAACUCCGUGCCAGCAGCCGCGGUAAGACGGAGGAUGCAAGUGUUAUCCGGAAUCACUGGGCGUAAAGCGUCUGUAGGUGGUCAAAUAAGUCGACUGUUAAAUCUUGAGGCUCAAC